CGUUGGGUAGGGGAGCGUUCUGUAAGCCUGUGAAGGUGUGUCGUGAGGCAUGCUGGAGGUAUCAGAAGUGCGAAUGCUGACAUAAGUAACGAUAAAGCGGGUGAAAAGCCCGCUCGCCGGAAGACCAAGGGUUCCUGUCCAACGUUAAUCGGGGCAGGGUGAGUCGACCCCUAAGGCGAGGCCGAAAGGCGUAGUCGAUGGGAAACGGGUUAAUAUUCCCGUACUUGGUGUUACUGCGAAGGGGGGACGGAGAAGGCUAUGUUGGCCGGGCGACGGUUGUCCCGGUUUAAGCGUGUAGGUGUGUGUUCCAGGUAAAUCCGGUU
rnacentral:rRNA from 1 species